UCCUGCAUGUGUGUGUGUGUUAACAGCUGUCUGUACGAGGACCGGUGUGUGUUUUAGACCUUGUAGCUCGUCGCCAUAGGAUCUUUAUAUAGCUGUUUAAGAGAGCUCAUCAGUGGCUUCAUCCAAACACCAUCACGCAGCCUCAUUUCUCUGAAUCCACCAGCCCACAAUUACAGGCCAUGUGCUGAGACCACAAAGUGGAGGGAUUCCGAGUGGAGACCUGCACUAACCCUCUGAAUGACUGGAACCACGCAGGUCCAGACCAGGGUCUGGAAAAGUCUAAUGAAGCUGGUGCAUGCAAUGAACAUGCACCUCUGAGUCUGAAGGGAUAUUACACACCAGCAAGUAAAAUAAAAUAAAAUAAAAACCAAGAACACUUGUUUGCAUUUGUCUCAGAGAACUUUCAGUGAACAAAGUUGCUUUAGUUGUUGCCUUAGUGGCAAUAGUUGUGGUGUGUCGUUCCGCGCUGUUGUAGGUAAAGCGUUUGGUGUAGUUGCAGCAUUUAGUUGCAAGUUGUUAAUUUACUUGUUGGUCCAGCUGCUGUAAUUGGAGCAACUGGUUUAGUUGCUCUAGUUGCUGUGUUUAACUGCAAAUUGAUGAAUAUUGAGUUUGCAGAAGUUUCUCUUUAGUUGCAGGUGUUUCUGUAGUUUCAUUAGCUGGAGUUGCAGUUAUGACUACAGCUAAAUGGUUAUGUUCACUAGCUGAUUGAGUUUAAUUGCAAGUGUUCCUGUACUUUGUAGUUUAUUUGCUCAUAAGUGUAUAUUUUUGAAGGAAUUUAUUAAGCAAUAGUAUUUAUUAAGAAUCAUUUAUAAAAAAAAGAUGACCAUUAUCAAUAAGACAGGACAGGUGCUUUCUGCAGAAGGUUUCAGAUGCAAUGAUACAGUCUAAUUUCUAAACUCCUUUGAAAUGGGCAGCAGUCUGUAAUGACUGUAAAUGUGUGCAUGAAUGACUUUUUCCCAUAGCAGACUCUGAGUCCGUCAAGAGCUCACGUCAGUUUAUACCAGCAGCAUAAACAUUCGUAGUAUCAGUUUCUGUUUCAUUAUGCAAAACUCAGCUGAAGGGACAAACCCCUGAGAGCAGAAACAGUUUCCCUCCACGUCCAGCCUGAAGCCUCCAGCUCUUUGUGAACAAUAUGCAAAUGAGACCAUUUGCCAAGCGCCCACUGAGAACAGACUUUGUUAUCACAGCGCAGACAAACUGCUCCUUCAGCAGCACCAAAACCCAGGCGACACUUUUAAAGAGCAUUUUUAUCAGGAAUGCUAGUUUGUGAUUUUUUUUAAUCUGUGUUAAUGCGCAGAAUCAGACUACAUCAUCUCUGUGAAGAAAGUGUGACUCACUAGUUUCUGUCUGACUCUCGUAGAAAAAUUAGCUAAAAAGCAGACAUGCAGGCAACUACUGCAAAUACACCCGGUGCUUUAUCUAAGUUGCUGUCACUGUAAUUAAAAGGACAACUGUCUAAAUAAAGACAGUUAAUAUUUAUGUGUUGCAAUAAAAAUAACUGUAUUCACUGGAUAAGGUUUCUUAAACAGCAUGUCAGGCUUUUAUUUAUAUCUGGUUUUGCACAACAGUCCACUCUUUCCAUGAGCAAACAGACAAUUUGAGUCAGUCACAUCUCUAUAAUCAUAAGGCCAAAAUGAACAAAAUUAGUCUGCGUGGAUCAGAGACACUGUAGACAAAAAUAUAAAGACAUUUUUACACAUGCAUUACAGCCCUGAGCCGUCAGCAAAUGACACAAGUGCAUCAGAAGACUCAAAUUCCAGAAUAAGCACCGCAGCACAAAGCCUGCGAAAUUUAGUUAUUAGCAAAUGCAAAAGUUGUUUGUGCAUUCAGUACUGCUGUAAUAGUAUAAAGUAAUCCAUUACUGUAAUUACCUAACUUUCUGCAACUGUACUAAAGUCAGUAAUCACACAAGUUGCUGAUCAAAAAACCGUGUUGUUACUUUAUUAAAGUUCUGUGGUCAUUUCAGAUUGUAUGGUCAGCCCGGUUGAACUCUUUAGAGUUUUGAUCAAAGGGUGAGAUGAUUAUUGGACUCUUUCUAAUUUAACUGGAUUCAUGUGGAGUCUGAGCUGGACUCCUGCUGCUCCACUGUGAAUGAAGGAGGGUCAAAGUUCAGGUGAUCCUCGGUGUUCCCUGCUUCUCUCUGACCAUCGUAACAAUGCUGUGAGUUGUUUCCUCCUUCCAAGUGAGAAAUCACAGCAGAGAACCCAUGUGAGUGAGGGGGCGGAGUCUGGUGAUAAUUAUUAAUUGAGACAGAAUUAAUUAUUUUGCAAGAAUGAAUCUUUUUUUCAUGUUGACUUUCUCUCUAAUCAGAGCCCAUCACUAAUAGGACUGUAUACUGCUGCAAACAGCUAAAUCUGUUGUUUACAUUAAUGUACACUAAUUAAUUUUAUUUUUAAAUUCUGAAAAGAAUUUAAAUAUCAACACAGCAGCAGGCAAAAUAAUUCAAGAAAAACAGAUUCAAAGAGUUAAAGAAAUACCACAUAUAUCUCUACUUACAAUAAAAAACAUGCUUUACGACCUUUAAAGCAGUAAAAUAUGAUCUCUGAUUCAUCCCAGAGGUCACACGAGUUAUUACACUAAAUGUUACUGGAAAGACUGGUCAGUGAGGGGGAGAAGAAACUGGGAACACAAGCAAACAGAACUACAGUGCAAUUGUCAUUUAGUCAGAUAGCAGUGGGACACUGAUGCUAGUGCUAAUACAACCCCAGCCACCUGCCGUGAGGCAAAUGCAUUUACAGCAAGAACACUGCAGGAAUGUUUUUCUCCUAAUAAUCAUUUUCUCCUCCUUUUACGGACCUGCGACUAAAGAUAGAGAUCUGUUCUGUGUGUCUGUGAUAAACCUUUUAUUCAUCAGCGUCACCUGCUGAGUUCAGGUGAUCCAGUCUUUUGCUCUCACCCUUUUCACCUUUCGCAUGCUUGUGAAAAUGGUGAUGUGUGAUGCUUCCAUGUGACAAAUCACAGUGGCAGGAGUCAGGUGAGGUUUUAUUUAGCCAUGUGAUGAAUGUUCUCCUCUACAUUUUAGUAUCUCCUGGAGAGAAGGAGAAAAGUUAGUGAAGCAGAAAGUGCAGAGGAGGCAGUGAUGACAGUACGGCUUCAUACUGAGAAAGAGCACUGCAGAUGCAGUUGUUGCUGAGAGUGUUGAUUGAGAGCUAUUGAGAUUCAUGGCUGUAGUGAAUGGUGUGACAGACGAGAGUAGGGUUAGGAUGAGACGGUGGCAGAUGAUCUGCUACGGCGACCCCUAAAGAGAACAGCCAAAAGAAAAAGAACAAUUCAGAAAACCAUAAAAUAAUUUUUAAAAAGAAUGAAAGACAACUUCAUUCAGCAUUUAGAACAAUUUCAAUAAAAUAUGUUGGAGUGUAAUUGAAUUAAAAAAAAUAUUUACUUUAAAUCUUUUGAGGCUAUACGUUGAUCAGAUUGGUGAUCAAUAAGCAGCAGAUACGAAUAUGAAUGAAAAAACAUGGGAACAGAAAACAAACAGAACUGAAGUGCAAAUGUCAGCUGACUGUGGGCCACUGCUGUUAAUGCUAAUGCAACCUGAGGUACCUGCAGUGAGGCUAAUGUCUCUGCAGCCCCACCUCCCUCUCUGUGUGUUUACAAUGUAAUGGUUGUGUUACCUGCUGCCUGAUCCAAAAACAGGAAGAGCAGUGAGCUUUUAAGUUAGACGACAGGAAGGAAAAACAGGAAGGAAAAACAGGAAGGAAAAACAGGAAGGAAAAAAUCAAACAGAAGGAAAAGAAGAAAGCUAGAAAGAAGAAAGACAGUCACAUGUGAGGUGAAGAAAGCAACAAAUUUCGGACCCAUUAGCCAGUAUAGAUUUGUCUCAAAUGAAGAUGAAAUUUGAAGCACUUUUUAAAAUGAAUUUCUGUACAAGCAGAGGAAUGAGAGCGAUGUGGAAACCUUCCCUCUAAUCUCUUCCUGCUAAUCCUUUUGUCCUGUUCCUCCUUUCUAACGCUCACUUGUGAAAGUGUAAAUGUGUGUGUGUGUGUGUGUGUGUGUGUGUGUGUG